GUUUGUUGCACUUUUGGUCGUGGGCUUGAUGCUCACCUACGUGAUAUAUCUCACCAUUAUCAAUCACAUCCUGACAGAUGUUCUUUUAUCGCUGUUACAAACAAUAAGUGUUCCAGCCAUGGCGUUGCUGUUGUUCUAUCUACAAGUUGUCCUUGCCAAACGUGUACUUAUGCAAGAGAAGAUCAAGGUUACAGAUGACACACCUCCUCUAAAUGUGGACAACAGGCGCUUUUAUGAAUGCUUUAAUUACUACGCCUUGUUCGGAAAUCUGGCCAUUGGAAUAUUUUCGUGUUUCUGGAGAAUUCUACAAGGGCUCAUUCUUGGUGUCUUAAUGGUUGGUCG